rnacentral:rRNA from 1 species
GAGCCAAACAGCUAGCUUACAACCAGAGUAACCUAAUAACAUAAAUAAUAUAACAACAACUAAACCAAUAAACUAAACCAUUUUACCACCUUAGUACGGGAGACGGAAAAGGUUAACCCAAGCAAUAGAGAAAGUACCGCAAGGGAAAGCUGAAAAAGUAAUGAAACAAUCCAUACAAGCAUAAAAAAGCAGAGCUCACCCCUCGUACCUUUUGCAUCAUGAUUUAGCCAGCACCCCCCAAGCAAAGUGACCUUCAGUUUGAAGCCCCGAAACCAAGUGAGCUACCCCGGGACAGCCUGACUGGGCGAACCCGUCUCUGUGGCAAAAGAGUGGAAAGAGCCCCGGGUAGAGGUGAUAAACCUACCGAACUUGGUGAUAGCUGGUUGCCUAAGAAAUGAAUAGAAGUUCAGCCUCGUGCCCCUUUGAGCAACCAAGAAAAAUCUUACUAAGCAUAGAAGAAAAACACGAGAGUUAGUUAAAGGGGGUACAGCCCCUUUAACCAAGGACACAACCUUUAACAGGAGGAUAAGAAUCACACUUUCUAAAACCAGUCGUCCCAGUGGGCCUAAAAGCAGCCAUCUGAGAAGAAAGCGUUAAAGCUCAAACGACACAAAGUUUAUUAUACUGAUAAAAUAUUCAACUCCCCUAAAAAUAUUAGGCUAUUCCAUGCCGACAUGGAAGAGACCAUGCUAAAAUGAGUAAUAAGAGGGCACGACCCUCUCCCAGCACAAGUGUAACCCAGAUUGGACAAACCACUGGAGAUUAACGAACCCAAGAAAAGAGGGCAAUGUAGAUGACAGAAAAAUCAAGAAAAUCCCACACAUAAAAAUCGUUAACCCCACACUGGAGUGCUUCCCGGGAAAGACUAAAAGAAAAGGAAGGAACUCGGCAAACACAAGCCUCGCCUGUUUACCAAAAACAUCGCCUCCUGCAAAUCACUAUGUAUAGGAGGUCCAGCCUGCCCAGUGACCACAAGUUUAACGGCCGCGGUAUUUUGACCGUGCAAAGGUAGCGCAAUCACUUGUCUUUUAAAUGAAGACCUGUAUGAAUGGCCAAACGAGGGCUUAGCUGUCUCCCCUUUCAAGUCAGUGAAAUUGAUCUACCCGUGCAGAAGCGGGUAUAAAAAUACAAGACGAGAAGACCCUUUGGAGCUUAAGGUACAAGCCCACCUACGUCAAGCAACUUACUUAAUAAGUGUAAACCUAAUAGAAAAUGGAACUUUACCUUCGGUUGGGGCGACCAUGGAGAACAAAAGAUCCUCCAAGUGGAUUGGGUAAAUCCUAAAACCAAGAAUAACACUUCUAAGUCACAGAAAUUCUGACCAAUUAUGAUCCGGCUUUACGGCCGAUCAACGAACCAAGUUACCCUAGGGAUAACAGCGCAAUCCUCUCCAAGAGUCCAUAUCGACGAGGGGGUUUACGACCUCGAUGUUGGAUCAGGACAUCCUAAUGGUGCAGCCGCUAUUAAGGGUUCGUUUGUUCAACGAUUAAAGUCCUACGUGAUCUGAGUUCAGACCGGAGCAAUCCAGGUCAGUUUCUAUCUGUAAUGUCAUUUUUCCUAGUACGAAAGGACCGGAGAAAAAAGGCCCAUGCUAAAAGCACGCCUUACCCCUAAUUAAUGAAAACAACUAAAUUAAGUAAAAGGAGGACCUAAACACGGGUCAAAAUAAGACCAU